rnacentral:lncRNA from 1 species
ACAUUGCUUGUAGUUUCUUGCUUUGAGCUUGUUUGGCAUGCAAAUUAACUCAUAUGUGGUGGAGUUCUUUUCUUUGUUUUUGCUGAGACGAAGAGCUUCUAGCUUUGAGAGGCAAAAGAAGAUGGUCCUCCGAAUUCGUUUAAGCUUGGCUUUGGUGGCGCCGGAAGAGAAAGGUUUGUUUUCGGACUCGAGGCAGACCAAGCAACUAGGCUGUCGACUGAAUUCGUUUAAGCUUGGCUUUGGUGGCGCUGGAAGAGAAAGGUUUGUUUUUGGACUCGAGGCAGACCAAGCAACUAGGCUGUCGACAACAAGGGACAUGGGACCUGGCGCUGCUUAUGACAACGGUCAUUUCUUUGUGUAUGUAAUAUACUAGUUGUUGUAAUAGACUAGCUGUUGUACCUGCACACUUGUAGUGUUCUCCUUCCAUGUGAAAUACAAAAUGGCAAUUCUAUGCCCCUGUGCAUGCAUUCCUUUCUGCCUUUUAUGCUGCCAAAAUUUCUAGCCGAGACCUGCUCGACAUGUCAAAAUUUUGUCCUUGUUUGUAACGAAACAAAAAAUGUGAAGGGGGCGACUGUAAAAAUUUGUCUUUGUUUGUAAGAAAACUAAAACUUCUGGGUGUUGAUUGUUCGUCUUAGGGUGCAUAUCAAGAGAAUUAGUUUAAUGGGAUGAACUAUUUACGUGCUCGAGAAGUAACUAUUUGGACCGCAGCUCAUGACGGAAGCUAGCACAUACAAGGAAGAUGUAGACUCUGUAUUGAGAAAAACCACACAUGUAUAGAGAUAAAAAGACACAAAAAUAAAAGUAAAAUGCGUAGAACAUUCUAAAACCGGAACCCGUAUCAGAAAAUAUUUUUUAACUCCCGACGAUUGUUUUUGAAAUUGCCAACAUUUCUCCGGAACCCGUAAACAUUUUCUUGAAUUAGUGAAUAUUUUUUCAGGAAUUUUAAAGAAUAUUCAUGAAAAUAAAAUUGUAUUUCAUGAGCAUUUAUUUAGUUGUCAUUAUUUUUUGAAACGAUGAACUUUUUGAAAAUUCACAAUUUUUUUUGAUUUUGUGAUCAUUUAUUUACAUAUUCAUUAACAAUUAUGAAUCGACAUUUCUUUAAAAUCAUGAAUUUUUCUUUUUGAAUUUGUGAACAUUGUUCGAAAUUGUGAAUAUUUUGUCCAUUUUGAGAACUUUUUUUGAAGCCAGAAACAAUUUUGAACUCGCGAAACUUUUUUACAUUCGAGAACAAUCUUUCAAAACUCGUGAACAUUUUUUUGAAAUUCAAUUUUUAUUUUGACAUCCCGACCAUCAUUUGAAACUAGAUGAUGGCCCAUGCCUUGCUGCGGGAAUGAAUUGUAAUAUAUUUCAAUAGGAUUUGACUAUGUGGAGUAUAAAUAUUUCGUUUAACAACAUGUGAACAAUAUUUUAUUAUGUACAUACGACGUAUCAUAUUUUAUUUUGUAUAGUUGUAAAGUAUUUAUUGAAUAUAAGUAGAAUAAUAGAGUGAAUAAUAUUUUCUGAUGGAUGGCUGGAUGUGGUGGUGGGUGAUUUCACAUGCGUGGGUGCAUGUUGAUGGGCCUUAUCCCUUCAAUAAUUGUAUGGUGAUGUGGCAUGCUUGUAUGUUGAGAUAAGUAAGUUAGUGGGGAUGACUCUUUUAUGUAUAUAUAGAAUUUAUAAUUGUUUUUAAAUCCCGAACAAUUGUAUUAAAGAAACAAAACAAAAAAACUGGGGCGGCCCACCCCAAUACGCGCUGGGGGAGCGGGUGUUGCGCGCUAGGUCACUACUCAGCGACUCGCCCGCGAACUAGGAGCUCCCUAAAGGCAAGCCUUAUUUGGCGCUUUCGGCACCGAUUAAGGGCUAUUUUGCCAACCGGUGCACACGCCCCUCAAAGUUGGGCCGGCCCAUUUUACUUUUUUUUUGCGGGUGUUGAGUUUCAAACUCGGACCUGUAUCUUUAACGAAAAGUGCACUAAGCAAUAGGACAUCGCAAAACACGUCCAACCCUAUUUCAUUUUUUCCUUUUAUACUUUUUUCAGUUUGCGGGAAGCUCAAAACUCACUUCCCGUCGACAGACAUGGCCUAUCUUCCUUUCGGUCCCAAGUUCCGUGUCGCUGUCGUGUCCCACCAUAGAGUUGGGAGACGACAAAUCAAGUUAUAAUACAAUAUAUGCACAUUAAUUGUGCAUGGUGAUUCAUGCAUAUUUUCCAUGAAUACCCAUACACUAUUUCUCGCCAUUUCAUGUGAAGAGUGCGGAGACUAAAAAAUUAUUGGAUCUUGCUAUCACUUAAACAAUUUUGAGAGAAUCAUGGUAUAAUUAUAGUGACGAUGGGAGAAUCAUAGAAUAAUUAUAACGACGGCUAGAACAAUUGUAGAAUAAAUUAUGAUUUAUUUUGAUGAUUUAUAGGAAAGUAAGUAAAUGGAGGUUAAUUAGUUUCAAUGGAUAUCAAGACAAUAGCAACAUGAGGUAGCCGUUGAUUGUUCGGAGGAGUUGGUUUAUUAGUUCACGAAACAAUCUAUCGUCCCGCUUUAUACAUAAAACACAAACCAAAGUACAUGACCGAACAAUACAAGAAAGUGAGAAAGCACUCUUACAGAGUAGAACCCGGGAUAAACGGAUAAAAUAAACGAACGGGACUACGUUGAUGAGAACUAACAACUAACACAGAUAGGCGUGAAUACAAUGCCACGACAUGACCUAGAACCCAUAAGCUCCAUGACAACACCCUCAAGAGGGGAGACGACGUGAAGCGUUGCCGCUACCGAGUCCGAGACAGACAGGGGUCGUCACCCGAAACCUUGAAACGAAGAGAAGAACCACGGCGACGUCUUGAAGAGAAGCAGUGGCGGAGCCAGCCAGUUGAAGGAGCCGGGGCAAAGUCUUUACACAGCGAUGUUGCCCAGAUUUGCCCAAGUAAUUAGUAAUGCUAAUCAUGGUUUCUUAUGAUUUCUUUGUAUUGUUUAGUGAAGACUGCCCCGAACAACCCGGGCAGCUGCCCCAGGUCGCUGGGAGCUAGCUCCGCCACUGAAGAGAAGGCAGCACCCAUGGGUGGAGGAUUUUUAGUUCCGUACUCCCGCUAUUUCUAAAUAUAAGUCUUUUAAGUAUGGAGUACAUACAAAUGUAUAUAUAGACCUAUUUUAGAAUGUAGAUUCAUUUAUUUGCUCCGUAUGUAGUUCAUAUUGAAUUCUAUAAAAAAGAUAUUUAGGAACGAAGGAAGUAUAUUUUUACUGAAUUUGUUUUCUAUAUUUUUGUUGCCAGAUUUAUAACAAUACACGAAUGAACUAAUUAGGCCAAAGCUGGUCAUAGGGUGUCAUAGGGUCGUGAUCCCCGUGAUAUUAGGUGUUCAUCGUCGGAUCUAGAAGGUAAAGAGAUGAGCGAUCAGGAUUAGCCGGAGGAAGACCACAAUCCGUGGACUCACGUCAAGGACCAAUCAAGCCGCACUCUUGUUGAAAGGUUUCGCGCUCAAGCUCAAGAGCGCGGGACUCCGUCGCACCAAAAACUCUAGCGCCCACGCUUGCGUCCAAAUUUUCGCGCUCGGGCUCAGUGAUGUCUGGAAAACUCUGGCAUCCACGCUUUUGUCCAAGUGUUUCGCGCUCGGUCCAAGACUUAAUAUUUUCAAAUGAAAUUGAGAAGAGAGAUUCUAACCAACCAGCACCCAACCCAACCCAAAACAGCCCUCGCACACUCUAUCUUCUUCCUCCUCCCCCGAUUCCACCCAACGAGCUGCCGGCAACCUCCUCUCCUCCAGCCACCGCCGGCGCCCUCCACCCUCUCCUUCUCUCCUAGUCUCCGCGUCCAACCUCGACAGCUUCCCCUCCUCGCGCCCGAAACCCUAGCCCGCGUCCACGGCAACCAAUCUCUGGAUCCGCAUCGCAGGAUGCCGCCGGAUCCGGGAACAGGGCAUCACACCCUGCAGCUGCCGUUCGGGUCGAGCGCGGCGGCGGCGAACGCCGGUGCUCCUCUGCUUCCUCGACCUCCAAGGACGCAGGCCCCGGAUUCGUGCUCGCCUUCUUCCUCCACCAACCUUGGUGCCCAACUCCCUACAGCCGCCGUCGCCGUCGCCGUCGUGGACUCCCAAGGUCCCAUCCGCCUCUCGUCUUUCCUAUUUCGAUUUUCACCGUCGAUGUGUGUGUGUGUGUGAUCAAUUUGCGUUUUUUUGAUUCCAAGCAGCAGGCAAGGAGCAUGAGGACCGAGCUCGAGCGCGACCACGACGCAGCGCACAAGGUCCCUGUUUCCUGCACAAGGUAGCACCUCUCUCUCCCUCCGCCCACUCACUUCCUAAUCUCCUCUGGUCACAAGCUUUCCGCAAUGGAGCCCGAGGCAUCAAGAACCGUCCACUCACUGAUGCAUUUGCAGUAUACACAUCACCUUGCUUGGUUGGGGAGCAGCAACAUCAAGGCUGUUGUACAAACAGCAAUAUCAAGACGUUGAACAAAUAGCAACAUCAGUUGCUGAUAGCGUACUGAGUUACUCACCAUGAACCGUCCUCAUUCUGUAACUUCUGAAUGAAUUCAGUCACUCACCUGAUGCAUUGUUCUACUUCAUCUUCUUGAUGCCCAGGGUGUUUCAGCACCAACGCUUGGAUGACCAACGAGGUACACUCGACGUACCUGUGAUAUGCAUGUGUAUUAAUAUCGAAUCACAUGUGAGAGCUAUUGCAAAGAAAGGAUGUAGAUUUCUUACUGUUGUUGUACCAUGGUGUCUGCACAUAUAUCUCUCAUGUUGAAAAUCUGAAGAUGGAAAAAUAAAUAAUAAAUUCUCAUUACCCAAUGUUAAAUUGAGUUGCCUAAUUUCCAAAUAAAAAUAGCAUGCAGUGCAAACAUAUGAUUGCACAUCAUCUUUUGGUUCAGUCUGUAUGUGCAUUUUUAAAUUUUGCCUAAAACUGUGCUAAAUGCAUGUCCUAAGCUAUGCAUGCUCUUACCGUAGCUAAUCCCAACCCUGUGUGCAAGCUAUUGGACCUGAUAUCGGUUAAUUCCAAGUACAAAUUCAGUUACUGUAUAUUUAUCGUAGAACCAGAAUAUUUAUUGUGGAUCUUGUUACAUGGUGUGCCAUGCAUAUGCCUUAGCACUAGUAUUUCAGCAUGCUUAUGCCUUUGCAUUUGCUAGUUUAUUAGCUAGCACAUGUUUUACUGAAGCGGUUUGCAUAACCGUGACCAGACUAGGUCAAUAUUAUUGAUUUGGUAAUCUUGAAACUCAACAAUCAAUGAAUGAAAUACAUUUGAUCCUCUUUUGACAUGUGUCAAGUGUUGUCCUGAUGUAGGAACAAGCUAUGGCGGUGGCUGCCGAUUUGCCGCCUCAACAAGGUCUCGUUCCUCCCUGGUUUGCACAAGCUUCGUCAGGCAACUGCAGAUCCCGUACGACCAUGGCCCACACCCCUGAAGCUUCCCCUGUCCGCAACAACUUCUGGAUCAAAGGUGUUCAUUCAUCUCUCUGCUAUCCUAAAGCAUGAAAAUGUUUCUCCUCUAGACUUCUUUAGAUUUAUGUUGGUCUGAUGAUGGUGUUAGUCCGGAGAUGGUGAUCUAAUCAUAUUCAAGAUAUCUAAACUGAAUGGAUGUUAUUACAAAACCAUCUAAUAUAUGUAGAACAACCGACAGGAAAUUUGCAUCUUCAUUUUGCCAUUGACACUGAAUAUGUUUCUUAAUAAUGUGGUUAAUCUUUAUGCAUGGAGAAACAAGAUCAUUUGUGACUUUUGAGCAAGGUUAUAAUUGGUAGCUUUGAAUGUAUUAUAUCUGCUUUCGAGAGCAAGUUUUGUGCAGCAGUUGUUCUGGUCAUUAAAGUUUGUGUUCUGUGCUUGUUUUGUUCUGGCAUGUAAUCUCAUGUUUGACCACAACUGAAUCUUCAAUGCAAAGACUCUGUGUUCCACUCAUAUAAUCUCAUGUUUGACCGUUCAAUGCAAAGAUAUAAUUGAUGAUCGAUCCUAUAAGUUCAUUACACUAACCAACAUGGUAUUAAUGUCAAGUCGAGAGUUGACCACUUUGCUCUUCUUGUUAUCUCAGGAUUGUUGCUUAAUCCCGGGCUGCUCUACCUUCAAGGAAAAGGGGUCCUCCUUGAGAUCAUACAGAUGGUGCAAGGACAAUGUUAAUAUGGUCAUUGUGGUGGGUGAGGGUGCCGGCCAAGAUCUCAUCGCCUAAAGCAUCAAUUUUGUGGACCUCACCAUCCCUUCCUUGGUUUGAGUGAGUACUUGGUCUCCUCUCUCUCUCUCUCUCUCUCUCUCUCUCUCUCUCUCUCUCUAAGAUGGUCCGGCCAUCGAGCCGUGGGUGAUUGUGUUGCUGGCAAUCGAGAGGCUGAUUUAGUGUUUGGAUCUUUGGUGGCCUUCUUUUGUGAUUGUGAUUGUCUUUCUUGUUGAUGAAAUUGGUCUCUUGUAAUUAUAUGAUGGGCCCUUUUUUGCUGUGCAUGCUAUAUGGUUUGGUUAUGGUCCAUGUUUAGUCUUGAUAGGAACCUUAUGCUGGGAUUUUGACUUGUUAAUGGCUAUCAAAUAAAACAAAAAGCUUACCUAUUGGUGUAGUGGUUCUGUGUAUUGAUAGAACUGGUUGAUUCUUGUACAACAGAAGGAAAGGGGGUUCCGUUCUCUGUUACUUUUAUUCUAUCUUAAUGCGUGUUGGUAAUACACCUUAGUAAAAUCUUGAUUUUCUGUCAGAGGUAAGGUAACCAAUGUCAAAUGGGAAAUGGACAACCUUUUCCAUGCAGAAAAGUAAAGUCCUUAAUACAGUCAUAUAAAAUAUGAGAUGUCCACCACUAUUGUCUCUGGUGUAUUUUAUAUAUGCUUCAGAAAAUGUAAAUCAUGUGCUGGCUGAUAUAUUUAGCGAAGAAUAUGGAGGAUUUUGUUUGUCUCAAGUGAUGAGUGAAUGAAACCGUGGGCUGUACACUAACCUGUAAUCUGCUAUUGGGUCUAGCAAAGUUGGAUUUGUUUCCAAUCUGGCACAUGUUUAUAGGUUUCAUUUAAUUGAGAGCAAAAUGGCUAUGUUUGAACUGAAGCUUGGUUUAUCUACAUUUUGUAGAAGUUUUUGAUUAUUUGAUAGUUGAUAUCUCUUCUAUUGCGAGCAGCAGAGGAGGAAUGGAUCCAGGACUGUCCGCUGCGGAUUCGCCGCCUCACCUAUGUCGGUCUUGUGCGUGCUUGGGGUUCUUCGCCGAGCACCAACACCGCCAUGGAGCCGGCGAGCUCACACACCUGCACCUUCAGAAGCACCACGUUAGGUACUGCAACAUCAAGUGCUACGGCGAGGUUGCUGGGCGCUAGCCGUGGCGUCCGACGCGUGUAAUGGUUGAAGGUUUUUUGGUUUAGUGCUCGUGCAACGCCGGCGCUAGUGGCGCUGUACGGCUUCGGCUACAGUCGUUCUGGUAAGUUCCUAAUUUUCUUUAUACCAGCUAUCCUUUUUGCGCUUUUCUUUUGAUUUUACGUUUGGGCAUACAUGUUACAUAUCCAAAAUGGGUGGAAUUGAAAUGUUGGAUAUUAUAUCCAAACUGUAGGGUUUAAUUUUUUUGGGAUUGUGUAAGGUUAAAUCUUUGUUCCUAGUGGAACAUAUCGUUUUUCAAAUUGGUAAUAUGGUUGCUUUGUCCAUGAUAAUGCUAUAAACAGUUUGUAUGGAUUUGUGCUGGUGUUCAUCCAUCCCUACAAAUAUUUUGCAUCCUCAUUUUGCCAUUGCCAUUGAAUAUGUUUCUUAAUAAUGUGGUUUCUCUUUAUGCAUGGAUAAAAUUUUAUUGUAUCAAUUCAUUUACAAGAUCAUUUGUGAAUUUUGAGAAAAGAUAUAAUUGAUAGCUAUGAAUGUAUUUGGUUUGCUUUUGAGAGCAAGUUUUGUCCAGUAGUUUGCACUUUUUUAUUCUUUCUUCUUGUUUUGUUCUGGCAUGUUAAUCUCAUGUUUGGCCACAACUGAAUCUUCAAUGCAAGGAUUAUGUGUUCCACUCAUAUAAUCUCAUGUUUGAUCGUUCAAUGCAAAGAUAAAAUUGAUGAUCGAUCCUAUAAGUUCAUUACAAUAGCUGACAUGAUAGUAAUGUCGAGUCAAGCGACUGACCACUUUGCUCUUGUUAUCUCAGGAUUGUUGCUUAAUCCCAGGGAUGCUCUACCUUGAAGGAAAAGGGGUCCUCCUUGAGAUCAUAUAGAUGGCGCAAGGACAAUGGUCAUAUGGUCGUUGUGGUGGCUGAGGAUGCUGGCCAAGAUCUCAUCGCCCAAAGCAUGAAGUUUGUGGACCUCACCAUCCCUUCCUCUGUUUGGGCGAGUCCUUGGUCUUCUCUCUCUCUCUCUCUCUCUCUCUCUGAGAUGGUCCGGCCAUUGAGCUGUGGGUGAUUGUGGUGCUGGCAAUCAAGCCGCUGAUUUAGUGUUUGGAUUUGUGGUGGCCUUCUUUUGUGAUUGUGAUUGUGGUCGUCUUUCUUGUUGAUCAAAUUGGUCUCUUGUAAUUCUACGAUGGGCCCUUUUAACUCUGCAUGCUACAGGGUUUGGUUAUGGUCCAUGUUUAUUCUUGAUAGGAUCCUUAGGCUGGGAUUUUGACUUGUUAAUGGCUAUCAAAUAAAACAAAAUGCUUACCUAUUGGUGUAGUGCUGUUGUGUAUUGAUAGAAUUAGUUGAUUCUUGGUCUUGUUUGAUAGGAUAGAAUAAGAAGAGAUAUUCUCUACUUGGUCUUGUACAAGUCUUAGUGAUGUGCUUUCUGUUGCCGUGGCAUACUUGCGAAUAUGAUCCCGGCCUAUUCCCAUGUGUUGUGUUGUGCACAAUGAAGAUGAUAAUAUGAUCGUCUGACUGAUUCCAACUUGCGAAAGAGCAUAUUUAACAGAGCAUUACCAGGUAUCACUUCAUCAUGAAAGAAAUGGCUUUUAGUUGCUACUGUCAUAAUGCUUGCGGAUAGUACACUGUAGUACAAUCUCGAGUUCGGUAAUCAAUGUGAAAUGGACUAAAAAUGGGCAACCUUUCCAUGCUGAGCAUAUUUGACUGUACGGUUGUUGAAUUGAAAUACACAUGUACAUGCUUUGAUCAUCUGGAUUGCAUUCUCUUCACAUGGCUACUUGGUCCGUUUAACGAAGCUUCACGGUAGGUACAUGUCUUGUUAAGAAGUGAUUUAAAAUAUAAAUAGAAGAUAGAAAGAGGGGAUGCUUGGAGAUUAUGAGACAUUUACUGUUCAAAAGAAGGAAAGGGGAUUCUCUGUUUCUCUUAUUCUAUCGUAAUGUGUGUUGGUAAUACACCAUAGUAGAAUCUUGAAUUUCUGUCAGAGUUAAGAUAAGCAAUGUCAAACGGGAAAAUGGACAACCUUUUCCAUUCAGAAAAGCAGAGUCCUUAUUACAGUCAUGUAAAAUAUGAGGUGUCCACCACCAUUGUCUCUAGUGUAUUUUAUACAUGCUUCAGAAAAUAUAAAUCAUGUGUUGGCUGUUAUAUUUAUAGAGAAGAAUAUGGAGGAUUUGUUUGUCUCAAGAAAUGAGUGAAUGAAACCGUGGGCUUGAUUCUAACCUGUAAUCUGCUAUUGGGUCUAGCAAAGUUGGAUUUGUUUCCAAUCUAGCAUUUGUUUAUGCAAAUUGGCUAUGUUUGAACUGAAGCUUGGUUUAUCUACAUUUUGUAGAAGUUUUUGAUUAUUUGAUAGUUGAUAACUCUUCUAUUGCAAGCAGCAGAGGAGGAUGGAUCCAGGACCGACCGCUGCGGAUUCCCCGCCUCACUAAUGUCGGUCUUGUGCUUGCCUGGGGUUCUUCUUCGCCCAGCACCAACACCGUUGAUGGCAGUGAAAACCAGCUGCUACAGAUGCUGAUCAUUGGCCGGUGAGCUCACACAUUUGCACCUUCGGAAGCACCAGGUCACCUACUACAACAUCAAGUUCUACGACGAGGUUGCUGGGCGCUAGCCAUGGCUUCCGACGCGUUACAUGGCUGAAGGCUUUUUGGUUCGCGUGCUCGUGUGACGCCGGCGCCAGUGGUGCUGUACGGCCUCGGCUACAGCCAUUCUGGUAAGUUCCUAAUUUUCUUCAAACCAGCUUUCCUCGUUGCACUUUUCUUUUAAUUUUACGUUUGGUCAUGCAUGUUACAUAUCCAAAAUGUGUGGAAUUGAAAUGUUGCAUAUUAUAUCCAAGCUGUAAGGUUAAAUCUUUUUUUGGAGGGUGUAAGGUUAAUUCUUUGAUUGUAGUGGAACACAUCGUUUUUCAAAUUGGUAAUAUGGUUGCUUUGUCCAUGAUAUGCUAUAAACAGUUUGUAUGGAUUGGUGCUGGUGUUCAUCCAUCCCUACAAAUAUUUUAAUCUUCAUGCUAAGAUGGAGAUCUUGCCAUUUUGCAUGUAGCCUUGGAGGAAUUUGUUUACAGAGGAGUGGACAUAUGGCUCCCUGGCUCCAUGGAGCCCUUUAUUUUCAAACAUUCAAAAAUCAAGUUUCUAUGUUCAGUUACUGUAUAUUUAUCUUUGACCCAGAAUAUUUAUUGUGGAUCUAUUACAUGGUGUGCCAUCUAUAUGCCUAGUAUUUCAGCAUGCUUAUGACUGUGCAUUUGCUAGUUUAUUAGCUAGCACAUGUCAUUUACUGAAGUUGUUUGCAUCACCAUGACCAGACUUGAUCAAUAUUAUUGCUUUGGUAAUUUUGAAACUAAUCAUGUUAUUGAUAAGUUUGUCACCAAUCAAUGAAUGAAAUACAUUUGAUCCUCUUUUGACAUGUGUGGAGUGUUGUCCUGAUGCAGGAACUAGCUAUGGCGGUGGCUGCGGAUUUUCCACUUCAACAAGGUUUCGUGCCUCCCUGGUUUGCACAAGCUCCGUCAGGCAGCUGCAGAUCCCGUACGACCAUGGCCCACACCCCGGAAGCUUCACCCGUCUGCAACAACUUCUGGAUCAAAGGUAAUCUCUCUACUGUCCUAAAGCAUGAAAGCAUUUCUCCUCUAGACUUUUUUAGAUUGAUGUUAGUCUGAUGAUAGUGUUAGUCCGGAGAUGGUGACCUAACCAUAUUCAUGAUAUCUGAACUGAAUGGAUGUUAUUAAAAACAAUCUUAUAGAACAACCGACGAGAAAUUUGAAUCUUCAUGUUUCCAUUACCAUUGAAUAUGUUUCUUAAUAAAGUGGGUUCUCUUUAUGCAUGGAGAAACACUUUAUUGUAUCAGUCCAUUUAAGAGAUCAUUUGUGACUUUUGAGCAAGGAAGUAAUUGGUAGUCUGCUUUCAAGAGCAAGUUUUGUGCAGCAGUUUAUACUUUUUUAAUUCUUUCUUCUUCUAUGAGUGGAGGUUCUGGUCAUUCAAGUUUAUGUUAUGUGCUUGUUUUGUUCUGGCAUGUUAAUCUCAUGUUUGACCACAACUGAAUAUUCAAUGCAAAGACUCUGUGUUCAACUCAUAUAAUUUCCUUUUUGACCGUUCAAUGCAAAGAUAUAAUUGAUGGUUGUCCCUACAAGUUCAUUACACUAACCAACAUGGUAGUAAUGUCGAGUUGAGCACGGAGCACUUUGCACUUGUUAUCUCAGGAUUGUUGCUUAAUCCCGGGCUGCUCUACCUUGAAGGAAAAGGGGUCGUCCUUGAGAUCAUAUAGAUGGCGCAAGGACAAUGGUCAUUGUGGUGGCUGAGGAUGCUGGCCAAGAUCUUAUCGUGUGAAGCAUGAAUUUUGUGGACCUCACCAUCCCUUCCUAGGUUUGGGUGAGUCCUCUCUCUCCUCCUCCCCCUCCCCCUCCCUCUCCUCUCCUCUCCUCUCUCUCUCUCUCUCUGAGAUGGUCCGGUCAUCGAGCUAUGGGUGAUUGUGGUGCUGGCAAUCGAGCCACUGAUUUAGUGUCUGGAUCUGUGGUGGCCUCAUUUUAUAGUGAUUGUGAUCGUCUUUCUUGUUGAUGAGAUUGGUCUCUUUUAAAUUGCAUUUCUAUUAUCACCAUUUUGCAUGUAGCCUGGGAGGGAAUUUGUUUACGAUACAAUCUUGAUUAGGUAGAUAUAAAUAGGAUACAAUUUUGUUUAAGAUAAACAAAGUUCUGUUAACUGGUAUAUAAAACAAUACUAUCAUUUUAUUAGAGGUAAAACUAGGAGAGUGGAUAUAUGGAUCCCUGGCUCAAUGGAGCCCUUUAUUUUCAAACAAUACUAUCAUUGUGCGACGUACAGGCGUCUAGUACUUAUCUUUGACCAUGUGCUUUUUCCUUGUCUGUGCUGAGGAUUUCCUCUAAAUCUGAGAAGAAGAGAUGCUACCCUGGUCUUCCUUUAUUUUUAUGAAAAUUUGAACAUUGCCUUGUCAUGCUCUGUGUAGUUAACACUUCUUUGAUCCAUGCAUGCUUACUUAUGCAAUCUAGCCCAUGUGUGUGCAGUUGUUUGACUUGUUUUUUCCUCUGUGUUGCGAUGCAUGUGCAGCUGCUGAUCGGGAACCAACCAUUGGUGUACCUCAAUAAGGUCACAGACGGCUGCAUGGGUGAGUCGCCGCCAAGCUCGAGUCCAUGGAGCCCUGCUCCAGCCUCAAGGGGAGGUGAGGUAGUUGUUCCUUUUUUUCUGGAUCCCCAUGAUUUAUUUUUUUGUUGUUUUUCGAUCUGAGCUUAAGAUUUAUUAUGUGUGUUGUCCUUGUGCAGGAGAAGGGGUUCAUCGAGCCAGGCAAGGUGUGCGGUGGUAGGCUCGGUCUCCAGCCUCAGCGUCUUCUGUUGGCCCCUUUGCCAUGUGGCGCCGACGAUGUUGUUCGGAGUCGGCUACAAAACUGGCAUGGUGAGCUCCUCUCUUUCCUCUGCUCCUCGCCUCUGGUUGCUCUGAGCUCGUGCCCAUCGAGCCACAGCUAUGCCAUGUUAGGAUUUGGCCUCUAAUGGUCACUAUGGAUGGAUGCUAUGGUUCCUGUGAUGUGCUAGGGUUGUAUGAAUUGCCUCAUAAUUGAGCCAUUGGUCCAUGUGUAUGCGUUUUGCUCUUGUGAGCUAUUUGACAGGAGUUUACUAAGUGUUUGUGUAGUGCAAAUGUGUUCUGCAUACAAGCUUAUCACCCUUAGUUAGAUAUAGCAUGUACAAACUCUUCUUAUGAUUAUAUGGCUCACAAUCUCAAGCUUGAGGGGUUGGUUGUGGUGCUACAGUUGUUGGGGUGUAGGUGGGAUGUUAGUUUUAACUAGCUGGUGGUGCUGGUGUGGUUGACACCACACCAGUGACUCAGCCAAGCUCCUAGUGCGCUGGAUUUACUGAUCAAUGGGGUUUUUGCAGCAAGGUAGAGUUGAUCUGGCCCUUGCGAAACAAGGAAAAUUGUUCCUUUUUUUGUUGGACACUUGUAGCUAAAGAGUGACUAGGACAUUAGAGGUCAUCUGCUUUGAAACGCGAUGUCAUCUGCUUCUCUAUAGGAGAUUAGAGGUAAUUUUGGGGUUUGCAAAAUCAUGCUUUGUCAUGGGAUGAUUUAUUGGAACGAAUUUCAAACAACGUGAUGUUUCUUUUCUGAAUCCAAACCAUAAUGUAGUACUGUAUGUUGUAAGUUUUUAACAUGUUAAUUGAAUUGAUAGUAAUCGUUCUUGGAGGUGUAGGUUUGGCUUUUUAUCCAAUGUAUGAACUGAUGGAUCAUCCUCUGGGUUAUGCUUCCUGAAUAGCGAAGAGCUAAUCAUCCUGGUGAUUGGUCAAAUAAAAGUUCAUCUUGUUUCAGUUGCCCCUGUAGUGAUAGGGAUGCAGUGUGAUGUUGAAAAAGGCCACAGGUAAUUUUCAGAGCCACAAACAUACUGGUAGCAACAUUACUUUGCUAAAUAAGUCUUGGUGAUGCUAUGUUCCUUUGUCGAAAUCCUCAGUUGCAUUGUCGUCUAUUUGAUCCAUGCAUGCUUACUUAUGCAAUCUAGCCAAGGUGUGUGCAGUUGUUUGACUUAUUUUUUCUUCUGUGUUGUGAUGCAUGUGCAGCUGCUGAUCGUGAACUAGCCAUUGGUGUACCUCAAUAAGGUCACCGACGGCUGCAUGGGUGAGUCACCGCAAAGCUUGAGUCCAUGGAGCCCUGCUCCAGCCUCAAGGAGAGGUUAGGCAGCUGCUCCUUUUUUUCUGGAUCCCCGUGAUUUGUUUUUUGUUGUUGUUGUUUUUCAAUCUUGGCUCAAGAUUUGUUAUGUGUGUUUCCCUUGUGCCGGAGAAAUGGUUCAUCGAGCCAGGCAAGGUGCGCGGUGGUAGGCUCGGUCUCCAGCCUCAGCGUCUUCUGUCGGCCCCAUUGCCAUGUGGCGCCUACGGUGCUGUUCGGAGUCGGCUACAAAACUGGCUUGGUGAGCUCCUCUCCAUCCUCUGCUCCCCGCCUCUGGUUGCUCUGAGCUCGUGCCCAUCGAGCCACAACUAUGCCAUGCUAGGAUUUGGCCUCUAAUGGUCACUAUGGAUGGAUGCUAUGGUUCCUGUGAUGUGCUAGGGUUCAUAUGAAUUGCCUCAUAAUUGAGCCAUUGGUCCAUAUGUAUGCGUUUUGCUCUUGUGAGCUAUUUGACAAGAGUUUACUAAGUGUUUGUGUAGUGCAAAUGUGUUCUGCAUACAAGCUUAUCAUCCUUAGUUAGAUAUAGCAUGUACAAACUCUUCUUAUGAUUAUAUGGCUCACAAUCUCAAGCUUGAGGGGUUGGUUGUGGUGCUACAGUUGUUGGAGUAGGUGGGAAGCUGGUGGUGCUGGUGUGGCUGACACCACACCAGUAACUCAGCCAAGCUUCUAGUGUGCUGUAUUUACUGAUUAAUGGGGGUUUUUGCAGCAAGGUAGAGUUGAUUUGUUCCCAUAAUGAACAUAUCGGAAGUAGCAAAUAUGCUAUGCAAUUAGGUGGUAGGUGGUGCUCGUUUGAAUCUGAAACAUAGAUACAAUAUAGGUGGUGCUCGGAGCACACAUAUUUUUUAGUUGUUUUAUGGGUAACAACGUUCAGGCACACAUUUCUCCUAAAAUUGCUCACCAUUCUGGCAUUUUAGUUCUCAAUGGCUUUUCCACUUUCAGUGAGUUAUGAAAGGAAUUUGUCUGGUAUGGAUGGUUUGAUCAUUGAGUUAAUGAAAAUGUUUCUGAGACAUAAAUCCCACUCAUUUUAGUACCUAUAUCAAUUUUAACCUUUUUAAAAUAUUUCACAGACCACAUAUUCACUUGUUUGAAAAAUGUAUCUGAAACAUAGAUACAAUAUUGUUGUUGCUUAAAAGGUCUUGUCUUCGGGAUCUUAAAUAUACAAAAAUAUUCAAAAAUGGACUUACACUUUAGAAGUGUUGUCUUAUGUAUGUUUGCGCAAUACAAUAUGCUCAUGUGAUCCUUAUGUUGGUGAUCUUUCAGGAAGCACGACAGGUCGCGUAAAGAGGAGGAAAACAAAGCUGAGCGCUCAACUUGUUUAGUGGACUAGCCUUUCUUCUUCCUUGAAAGAAACGUUGAAAGGUAAGACAUGACAGGGGCAAGCAUAGAUAGGCACUGGAGAUUUUUUUUUCUUUCUCUAGUCCAUUUACUGAAUGGGGUGAUGCUUUAUUUCUUCCGAAGGAGAAGAUGUGCUGAAACUAGAUGUAGAGAUGCAUGACCCUUUCUUUGAUUUCCUCUACGUGCUUGAUUCUGAAGUAGGAUGAUCAAAUUUAGAUGGUAUUUACUUUUUUUGUAGGGCAAGUAUAAUGUUUGCCAAGUCAAUCAAUAUAUAUUGACAUGCUCCCUGGGAUGAGAUGGCAAACCAUUUAGAUCAAGCCAUUUCAGUUUGCUGCAUUCAAAUUCCAAACCAAUUAAUGUCCACUUUUAGUUUAAGCCAUGAGAUGAUGGAAAACCAACUCAGUUUGCUACACUUGGUUGUAGAAAUGUCACUCACCGUUCCAGAUUAUUACUUGAGGUUAUAUAUGCUAUACGUAUAAACUAUGCUAGUGUUUGAUCUGGCCCUUGCGAAACAAGGAAAUUUGUUCCUUUCUUUUGUUGUCGCACACUUGUAGCUAAAGAUUGACUAGGACAUUGCUAUUUUUUAUUGCCGCUUGAUCUGAACCCUUCAGUCUUGUUGAUAGCUAGCAUGCCCUGCGACUAACGAUUACGCAAAGAACUCUUAUCUACUCUUGGUAAUUUACCAAGAAAACUCUGCAGUUUGAACGGAUCGAGUUGAUUGUGACUAUCACGAUCCUUUUGAUGGGUUUUGUUGUUGAAACAACGCAAACUAGGAGGGGGAUUAGAUAACUGAUUGAGAGCUAUUUGUUUUGUUGUGUGCAUGCUAUGGGACACAUACAUUACACUUUUUUAGCUUAGUCUCGGCCUACUAGACAUUGCUUGUAGUUUCUUGCUUUGAGCUUGUUUGGCAUGCAAAUUAACUCAUAUGUGGUGGAGUUCUUUUCUUUGUUUUUGCUGAGACGAAGAGCUUCUAGCUUUGAGAGGCAAAAGAAGAUGGUCCUCCGAAUUCGUUUAAGCUUGGCUUUGGUGGCGCCGGAAGAGAAAGGUUUGUUUUCGGACUCGAGGCCAACCAAGCAACUAGGCUGUCGACCGAAUUCGUUUAAGCUUGGCUUUGGUGGCAUUGGAAGAGAAAGGUUUGUUUUUGGACAUGGGACCUGGCGCUGCUUAUGACAACGGUCAUUUCUUUGUGUAUGUAAUAUACUAGUUGUUGUAAUAGACUAGCUUUUGUACCUGCCACUUGUAGUGUUCUCCUUCCAUGUGAAAUACAAAAUGGCAAUUCUAUGCCCCUGUUCAUGCAUUCCUUUCUGCCUGUUAUGCUGCCAAAAUUUCUAGCCGAGACCUGCCCGACUUGUCAAAAUUUUGUCCUUGUUUGUAACGAAACAAAAAAUGUGAAGGGGGCGACUGUAAAAAUUUGUCUUUGUUUGUAAGAAAACUAAAACUUCUGGGUGU